GACGAACGCUGGCGGCGUGCUUAACACAUGCAAGUCGAACGGUGAAGCGCCUUCCUUUUUGGUGGGUGUGGAUGAGUGGCGAACGGGUGAGUAACACGUGAGUAACCUGCCCCCUUCUUCUGGAUAACCGCAUGAAAGUGUGGCUAAUACGGGAUAUUCUGGGUCUGUCGCAUGAUGGGUCUGGGAAAGAUAUUGUUUCGGUGGGGGAUGGGCUCGCGGCCUAUCAGCUUGUUGGUGGGGUGAUGGCCUACCAAGGCGGUGACGGGUAGCCGGCCUGAGAGGGUGGACGGGCACACUGGGACGGAGACACGGGCCAGACUCCUACGGGAGGCAGCAGGGGGGAAUAUUGCACAAUGGGCGCAAGCCUGAUGCAGCGACGCCGCGUGAGGGAUGGAGGCCUUCGGGUUGUGAACCUCUUUCGCCAGUGAAGCAGGCCUGCCUCGUUUGUGGGUGGGUUGACGGUAGCUGGAUAAGAAGCGCCGGCUAACUACGUG
rnacentral:rRNA from 1 species